rnacentral:rRNA from 1 species
AUGAGCAAGAUGGCGAUCAGGGUUCCCAAGUCCAUGCGCGCCAAGCGUGAGCUCCUCAAGCACGCGCCCAAGCUCGUUGAGAAUGGCAAGAAGAUGCUUAUUCUUCAUGGUACAAAGACCAGCGCAGUUUUGAACUCUGUGCUGGCAGAUCUUUUCCACCUGAAGCGUGAUCAUGCUGUCAAGUACACCAAGAAGAACGACAGCAUCAGGCCAUUUGAGAGCGGGGGUGAAACUUCCCUGGAGUUCUUCUCCCUUAAAUCUGACUGCAGCCUCUUAGUGUAUGGUUCUCAUUCAAAGAAGAGGCCCAACAAUCUUGUUCUGGGAAGGACUUACGAUCACCACAUAUAUGACCUCGUUGAAGUGGGAGUUGAGAACUACAAAUCCAUAGAAUCCUAUGCAUAUGAUAAAAAGUUGGCACCUAAACUUGGGACAAAGCCUUUCUUUGCUUUCAUUGGGGAGCACUUUGAGAGUGUUGAAGGACUGAAGCAUUUGAAGGAAAUGCUGCUUGAUCAUUUCAAAGGAGAGGUGGUAGAGAAUCUGAACCUUGCUGGUGUAGAUCGGAUAUUCGUGUGCACAGCAAUUUCUCCUACUACCGUCUACAUGAUGCACUGCGCUCUCCGUCUAAAAAGGUCAGGCACAUCUAUUCCUAGAAUGGAGCUGGUUGAAGUUGGGCCUUCAGUGGACCUGGUACUUAGGCGGCACCGACAAGCAGCUGAAAGUUUACAGAAAGAAGCUAUGAAGGCUCCUGGUCAUGCUAAGAAGGUGAAAAAUGUCACCAAUAAUCCAGUUGAAGGCAAGCAGGGCAGGAUCUACAUUCCAGACCAGGAGGUCUCAAAAUUGACCGUAACAAGCAACAUAAAGGGUCUGAAGCGGGAGCGCCGUGACGCCAAGAAAAACAAGGAGCACUCGAAGAAGCAAAAGGUGGCCGAAAACCCUGAGUGA